CAGUAGCCACGGGAAUACAGAGGGUGCGAGCGUUAAUCGGAUUUACUGGGCGUAAAGCGUGCGUAGGUGGUUCGCCAAGUUGGAUGUGAAAUCCCCGGGCUCAACCUGGGAACUGCAUCCAAAACUGGCGAGCUAGAGUAUGGUAGAGGGUGGUGGAAUUUCCUGUGUAGCGGUGAAAUGCGUAGAUAUAGGAAGGAACAUCAGUGGCGAAGGCGACCACCUGGACUGAUACUGACACUGAGGUGCGAAAGCGUGGGGAGCAAACAGGAUUAGAUACCCCGGUAGUCCCUGUCUCUUAUAC
rnacentral:rRNA from 1 species